rnacentral:misc_RNA from 1 species
GUUUUACGUAUGCCAUCUUGCAGGAAAAUGUGCAGCCAAAAUUUCAUUUUACCAUGCACAUUCUUGAGUGAUACAGUAAAUUUUUAAGGGGAAGCUGCAUCAGAUAAGCCUAACCUCCAAGAAAGAUUUGUUCUCAUGAACUCCAGAUGAAAUUGUGCAUUAUAUCAUUCACAAUUCUGCCCUGGAUUCCUUGUCUUCCUCCGAGGAGCUGUCAGUCUUAGAGUUCUGUGAUGCAUUGGCAGAUGCAGACUCUUGAGGAUCCACUUCAUCACCUAAGAUUUUUGCAGUGAAU